UACGUAGGGGGCAAGCGUUGUCCGGAAUCAUUGGGCGUAAAGCGCGUGUAGGCGGCUCGGUAAGUCUGCUGUGAAAGUCCAGGGCUCAACCCUGGGAUGCCGGUGGAUACUGUCGAGCUCGAGUCCGGAAGAGGCGAGUGGAAUUCCUGGUGUAGCGGUGGAAUGCGCAGAUAUCAGGAGGAACACCUAUAGCGAAGGCAGCUUGCUGGGACGUUACUGACGCUAAGGCGCGAAAGCCAGGGGAGCAAACGGG
rnacentral:rRNA from 1 species